rnacentral:rRNA from 1 species
AUGGCAUGCUAUAUUUCUGCAACAAGGCUCCCUAAAUAUUCCCUAUGUUCUAAACUGGAUUCUGACAAGGGUGUACACCCUGCUAUUUGGUCAGAAGUUUGGGAGUUCAUACUUGGUUGUUUGAUCUCGAGAACACCUUUGAUGACCACAAGCAAAUUGGGCAAACCAGAAGGUACUUCUAGGACACGGAGAAUUUCCCUGAAGGUCAAGACCUCACAUCAAUGCUCCCAAGCCCCUGAUGAGCUUGUUCCUUUUUUUUUAAGUUUCUCAAAUGUCACUUCUAUAGGUUUACUUGAGAUGUUAUGUUGCAUAUGUUGUGCUGAGGUUUUCCUACUUUCCUUUUGA